GCGAACAAGUACCGCGAGGUA
rnacentral:snRNA from 1 species